rnacentral:rRNA from 1 species
UGGGGAAUAUUGCACAAUGGGGGAAACCCUGAUGCAGCGACGCCGCGUGAACGAAGAAGGUAUUCGUAUCGUAAAGUUCUGUCCUAUGGGAAGAUAAUGACAGUACCAUAGAAGAAAGCUCCGGCUAAAUACGUGCCAGCAGCCGCGGUAAUACGUAUGGAGCGAGCGUUGUCCGGAAUUAUUGGGCGUAAAGGGUACGCAGGCGGUUUAAUAAGUCGAAUGUUAAAGAUCGGGGCUCAACCCCGUAAAGCAUUGGAAACUGAUAAACUUGAGUAGUGGAGAGGAAAGUGGAAUUCCUAGUGUAGUGGUGAAAUACGUAGAUAUUAGGAGGAAUACCAGUAGCGAAGGCGACUUUCUGGAAACAAACUGACGCUGAGGUACGAAAGCGGGGGGAGCAAACAGG